AGAGUUUGAUCCUGGCUCAGGAUGAACGCUAGCGGCAGGCCUAACACAUGCAAGUCGAGGGAGAAGCCUUCGGGCUGAAACCGGCGCACGGGUGCGUAACGCGUAUACAAUCUGCCUUUCACAUAGGGAUAGCCCGAAGAAAUUUGGAUUAAUACCUAAUGGUAUAUAAGAGCGGCAUCGUUUUUAUAUUAAAGCUACGGUGGUGAAAGAUGAGUAUGCGUUCUAUUAGCUAGUUGGAGAGGUAACGGCUCCCCAAGGCGACGAUAGAUAGGGGUUCUGAGAGGGAUGUCCCCCACACUGGUACUGAGAUACGGACCAGACUCCUACGGGAGGCAGCAGUGAGGAAUAUUGGACAAUGGUCGGAAGACUGAUCCAGCCAUGCCGCGUGCAGGAUGAAGGUCUUAUGGAUUGUAAACUGCUUUUGCAGGGGAAGAAUAAGGACUACGUGUAGUUUGAUGACGGUACUCUGCGAAUAAGCAUCGGCUAACUCCGUGCCAGCAGCCGCGGUAAUACGGAGGAUGCGAGCGUUAUCCGGAAUCAUUGGGUUUAAAGGGUCUGUAGGCGGGCUAAUAAGUCAGAGGUGAAAGCGCUCAGCUCAACUGAGCAACUGCCUUUGAAACUGUUAGUCUUGAAUGGUUGUGAAGUAGUUGGAAUGUGUAGUGUAGCGGUGAAAUGCUUAGAUAUUACACAGAACACCGAUAGCGAAGGCAUAUUACUAACAAUUAAUUGACGCUGAUGGACGAAAGCGUGGGGAGCGAACAGGAUUAGAUACCCUGGUAGUCCACGCU
rnacentral:rRNA from 1 species